rnacentral:rRNA from 1 species
GAAUAUUGGACAAUGGGCGAAAGCCUGAUCCAGCCAUGCCGCGUGUGUGAAGAAGGUCUUCGGAUUGUAAAGCACUUUAAGUUGGGAGGAAGGGUUGUAGAUUAAUACUCUGCAAUUUUGACGUUACCGACAGAAUAAGCACCGGCUAACUCUGUGCCAGCAGCCGCGGUAAUACAGAGGGUGCAAGCGUUAAUCGGAAUUACCGGGCGUAAAGCGCGCGUAGGUGGUUCGUUAAGUUGGAUGUGAAAUCCCCGGGCUCAACCUGGGAACUGCAUCCAAAACUGGCGAGCUAGAGUAGGGCAGAGGGUGGUGGAAUUUCCUGUGUAGCGGUGAAAUGCGUAGAUAUAGGAAGGAACACCAGUGGCGAAGGCGACCACCUGGGCUCAUACUGACACUGAGGUGCGAAAGCGUGGGGAGCAAACAGG